rnacentral:tRNA from 1 species
GAGGGUGUAGCUCAGUGGUAGAGUUGCACACCUAGCAUGCACGAGGUCCUGGUUUCAAUCCCCAGCACCUCCA